GCCUUCUUUAAUAGAACAAAGUUUAUAGUCGGUAAUGGAAACACCACUCGCUUCUGGGAGGAUACAUGGCUUGGGGAAACGCCGUUAGCACUUCAGUAUCCGUCCCUGUAUCGUAUUGUUCAACGACGUGAUGCUCUUGUGGCCACGAUUUUGCAGUCCAUUCCCCUUAAUAUUCAGUUUAGGAGGGCGCUUGUGGGCGACCGGUGGGAAGCAUGGAUUCAUUUGGUGAGUAGACUGAUGGAGGUUCAGCUAUCUCAUCAGCCCGAUCAGUUGUGUUGGAAGCUUACUAGGUCUGGACAGUUCACAGUUAAGUCGAUGUAUAUCGAUGUCAUUAACUCUAGUGUUAUUCCUAGUUCCAAAGAGGUUUGGAAAGUCAAAGUUCCUUUGAAAAUUAAAGUGUUUAUGUGGUUUAUACAUAAACAAGUCAUCUUAACAAAGGAUAAUUUGGUUAAGCGCAACUGGACAGGAUCUACUAGGUGUAGUUUUUGUGAUCGGGACGAAUCUAUCAAGCACCUCUUCUUUGACUGCCCGUUGGCAAGGGUUUUGUGGCACACGGUGCAUAUUGCCUUUAACAUUACUCCUCCG
rnacentral:rRNA from 1 species